CUGGUUGAUCCUGCCAGUAGUCAUAUGCUUGUCUCAAAGCUUAAGCCAUGCAAGUGUAAGUUCAUGCCGUAAACGAAUGGUGAAACCGCGAAUGGCUCAGGAACCGGACCUAAUCCUCGGGACCGUAACAUUCCUCAACGCGAGGAGAGUGGAUAACUGUGGCAAUUCUAGAGCUAAUACAUGCAACCGAGGCCGCGAUCGCAGGUCGCACCCGGGAGUCGGGCUCAACGGCGUUCGGAAAAUCGAUCGCGGUGGUGGUGGUGGAGUGCGGUGGUCGUCGGCUUUCGUUGCCGUCGCCGCAGUGUCUGCCGCUGCUGCCGUGGCCGUGGCCCGUUCGUCGCCGGCACCCGCUCGGUCGGUCCGACGUCCGUCGCCUUUAUUUUGUUUAGGUGGCGGUCGCGCCGGCUGCGAUGACACGGCCGACCUUGGCAUUGGUCGCGGCGCAAAUAUUAGACUGAGACCGACGCGUUCAAGCCGUCGCAGCAGCCGCCGUCUUCGUCGGCGCCGGAAAACCCGCCGUUCCGCGGUGGUGUCGCUGGUGUUUUGUCGUUGGCGGGCCUCAGGCGUGCGUCGUCACGCCGUUUUCGAUUUUGGUGACUCUGGAUAACUGUCAGUACGAUCGCACGGGCUAGAAUCGACUAGCCUUCGCGCGACGGGUCCCCCGCGAGUCCGCCCUAUCAACUGUCGACGGCCCGGUAAGUGCCGACCGUGGUGGCAACGGGUAACGGGGAAUCAGGGUUCGAUUCCGGAGAGGGAGCAUGCGAAACGGCUACCACAUCCAAGGAAGGCAGCAGGCGCGCAAAUUACCCACUCCCGGCACGGGGAGGUAGUGACGAAAAAUAACGACGCGGGACUCUGUCGAGGCCCCGCGAUCGGAAUGAGUACACUUCAAAUCCGUUAACGAGGAUCGACCGGAGGGCAAGUCUGGUGCCAGCAGCCGCGGUAAUUCCAGCUCCGGUAGCGUAUAUUAAAAUUGUUGCGUUUGAAAGGCUCGUAGUCGGAAUUCGGGUCUCGAAAGCGUGCGCCAGCACGUUCGGGGCGACGGCGCCAUUGCUGUCGCGCCUCGCGCGCGUCGGCUUCGGUCGUCCGUUCGCACUCCCGGCCCUAUUCGCCGGUGCGUGUACAGGUCGAGCCGCCGAGCUCUGUUGGUUUGGGUUUUGGUGCAUCGCCGCGUCCGCGCGUGCGUAGUUGGUCGGUUUCCAUUUCUUUUGCCGCUUCCUCCGUGUUGUGCGCGGUGUGCGUGUGUUCGUCGGCGUUUCGCGUCGUCGUCGUGCGUGCUGCCGCCGCGCGCGGUCGGUGGUCUAUGGAUGAUGGUCUACGGCCCGCAGUCGUUCGCGGGUUACGUCGCGGUCGAGCGUCCUCCCACACAAACAUCUCGCGGUAUUCGUCGAUCGGCACGGUUCCUCCGAGGGUGCUCUUUGCCGAGUGUCCGAGGCGGCCGGUACGUUCACUGUGAAAAAAUUAGAGUGCUCAGGGCGAGCCCUGUCGGCUUGCAUACGAAAAGCAUGGAAUGAUGGAAAAUGGCCUCGUCCGCGCGUCAUCCGUCGGUCUCCGUUCACGACGAGGCAAUGAUCGAAGGGAGCGAUCGGGGCCACUCGUAUUGCGACGUUAGAGGUGAAAUUCUUGGAUCGUCGCAAGACGCACUGCAGCGAUGGCGUGUGGCAAGCACGUUUUCCUCGAUCAAGAGCGAAAGUCGGAGGUUCGAAGACGAUCAGAUACCGUCGUAGUUCCGACCGUAAACGAUGCCGACUGGCGCUCCGCCGGCGUUCGCUUCGAUGACCCGGCGGGGAGCCUGCGCGGGAAACCAUAGUCGGUUCCGGGGGGAGUAUGGUUGCAAAACAGAAACUUAAAGGAAUUGACGGAAGGGCACCACCAGGAGUGGAGCCUGCGGCUUAAUUUGACUCAACACGGGAAAACUCACCCGGUCCGGACACCGGUAGGAUUGACAGAUCGAUAGCUCUUUCUCGAUUCGGUGGGUGGUGGUGCAUGGCCGUUCUUAGUUGGUGGAGCGAUCCGUCUGGUUGAUUCCGAUAACGAACGAGACUCCGGCCUGCUAACUAGCGCGCCGAUUAGUGCUUUUCCGGUAGCGUGGCGGCGCCGAAGCCGUCGUCGGUAGCUCUGCGCGCGGUUCGAGCUCGUUGCCGCUUGGUGCUGCUGCCGCUGUUCUCGUUCUGUGGAAGUCUUUUUUCGGGGCGGUGGCGGCCGCUUAGCUUUCUUUCCGUUGCUUGCUUGUCCGUGUUUCUGGUCUCGCGUGUACGCCGUGGUCGGUGGCUCAUUUGUCGCCUGUUGAGGGGUGUGCGUGGUCACGGAAGACGGCGGGUCGUGUCGGUCGUUGGCGGUGGUCGUUGCCGUUUCGGGACGACGUUCGGAGGGCGUCGCGCGGCAGCAGCGGCGCCGGUGGUCGGUGGGCCCGCGUCCGUCGCGAGCCCGGCGUCGGCACGCCGUUGCGUCCGGGCCAGUCGGUUGGCGAAUGCAGCGCUUCUUAGAGGGACGGGCGGCAGAAAGCCGCACGAGGCGGAGCGAUAACAGGUCUGUGAUGCCCUUAGAUGUCCGGGGCUGCACGCGCGCUACACUGGAGGUAUCAGCGGGCGCGUCUCCCCCGGCCCGAGAGGGUCGGGAAACCUCUGAACCACCUCCCGUGAUAGGGAUCGGGGCCUGGAACCAACCCCGUGAACGAGGAAUUCCCGGUAGGCGCGGGUCAUCAGCCCGCGUCGAUCACGUCCCUGCCCUUUGUACACACCGCCCGUCGCUACUACCGAUCGAACGGUCCGGUGAGGUCCUCGGAUCUGGCCGACGAGUCCGCAGGCCGUUCGGCGGCGUUUCGGUUCGAUUUUCGGGCGAUCACUUUUUCGCCCGUGUAUUCGGUUCGUUGCCGUCGUGUCGGUGCGCUCUCUGAUGGCCCGGAGAAGACGACCGAACCCGAUCGCUUAGAGGAAGUAAAAGUCGUAACAAGGUUUCCGUAGGUGAACCUGCGGAAGGAUCAUUA
rnacentral:rRNA from 1 species